AUGGCCUCCGGUGAGCUCCCACCGUCCAAGAAGAAAUCCGGCCCCACCACCAUAUGCUCCCUCGGCGACGACCUCCUGUGCGAGGUGUUCCUCCGCCUGCCCUCCCUCCCGACCCUCGUCCGCGCCGCCCUCACCUGCCCCGCCUUCCUCCGCGCCGUCCGUUCGUCCCCGAAAUUCCGCCGCCGCUUCCGCGAUCUUCACCCCGCCCCGCUCCUAGGCGUCUUCCUCGACGUCUACGACCCCGGCAUGCCCGCCUUCGUGCCCAUCCGCCGCUGGUCCGACCCGGACCACGCUGCCGCCGUCCGCGGCGCCGACGUCUUCCUCACCCGCGUCCCCGACGAUGAAGACGAAGGGUCCGACGAUGAGGACGACGGGGAAAGCGACAGCCUCGGGUGGUCCGGGUAUUACGGAGGCGAAGGCGACAGAGCCGGGUGGUCGAUGACCGGGUGUCGCGAUGGGUACGUGGUUCUCGUCAACCGGGGAACCAAGCGGGCGGCUGUCUACGACCCCCUCACACGGAGCCUGCAUCUCCUCCCCGCGCCGCCCGUUGAGAUCUGCGAAGACCCCGAAGAGGCGGAAGUCGAGUUCCACGUGAUCACCUCGGAAGAGGACCGCCGGUCACUCCGCGUCGUCUUCGUCUGCAAGGAAAGGGGGAAAGUGCGGGUCGCCGUCUUCUCGCUGGACACCAGGGAGUGGCAGAUCUCCCCAAAAGGGGCGCGCCUGCAGCUGCAGGACGAUGACAGUGGUACGCUAGUGAACGGGUGUGUCUACUGGGCAUCCGUAAGCGAAGACGCUAUUCAUCUGCUGAACACGGCAACACUGCAAUUCUCCCGGAUGGUUCUGCCGCGGCGUAUGCGGCGAAUGGGUCUCAAGGUCGGUCAGACCAGUGAUGGGAAGCUCUGCUUGGCCUGCGCAUCUGAACUCACUCUUGAUGUCUGCUUCCGGAGAGCAGAUGACAAUGGUGUCGAUAAAUGGAUACUGAACAGGACAUUUGAGUUGGUGGACGACAUCGACAAGCUCCGGCUACAGUUUGUAGAUCGUUUCCCAAGACUGGAGGUCGUGGCCAUCAUCGGUGGCAUUGUGUAUCUGUCUACUUUCCAGGUAGAGCAUCCUAGUUCUUCUGGCUGCUUCCUAUCAUUCUGCAUUGAAACAGAGGAGCUGAAGGAGGUCUGCCCUAUCACCAACUCUGAUUCUUCAUAUCCCUACAUCAUGGCGUGGCCUCCUGUUUUGGUAGGCAAUAAGGUGAGCUCUCUCGGCUAG
rnacentral:rRNA from 1 species